rnacentral:rRNA from 1 species
UACGGGGGGGAGCAAGCGUUGUUCGGAUUUACUGGGCGUAAAGGGCGCGUAGGCGGCCAGCACAAGUCAGUUGUGAAAUCUCCGAGCUUAACUCGGAAAGGUCAACUGAUACUGUGCGGCUAGAGUGCGGAAGGGGGCAACUGGAAUUCCCGGUGUAGCGGUGAAAUGUGUAGAGAUCGGGAGGAACACCCGUGGCGAAGGCGGCUCUCUGGGACGGUACUGACGCUGAGACGCGAAAGCGUGGGGAGCGAACAGG